rnacentral:snRNA from 1 species
UGGUGUGAGGGAGAUCUGGCUGUUACAUCUGUGACAUCUGCCAUCCCAUUUCCNCCAUGGUUCAUUUGGAUGAUCUUGCGGGCUAACUCACUUGUCCACUUCUCUCAUAACUCCAUGUGCAUCCUUCCUGAAGCUGUGCACUUGGUGGAAGAAAAGGACCUUGCCAGUUAGAGGAGAGUUGUUNUUUGGUCCAGAGUAAAGGAGUAGCUGUGCUUCUCUGUCAGAGCCUCCAAGUAAGCAUAGCCAGGUUACAAAUGUCAAGUCCUGCCUUCUCCUGGCAAUGGACUUGGUC